GAUGAAGAACGCAGCGAAAUGCGAUAAGUAGUGUGAAUUGCAGAAUUCAGUGAAUCAUCGAAUCUUUGAACGCACAUUGCGCCCCUUGGUAUUCCAUGGGGCAUGCCUGUUCGAGCGUCAUUUGUACCUUCAAGCUCUGCUUGGUGUUGGGUUUUUGUCUCGCCUCUGCGUGUAGACUCGCCUCAAAACAAUUGGCAGCCGGCGUAUUGAUUUCGGAGCGCAGUACAUCUCGCGCUUUGCACUCAUAACGACGACGUCCAAAAGUACAUUUUUACACUCUUGACCUCGGAUCAGGUAGGGAUACCCGCUGAACUUAAGCAUAUCAAUAAGCGGAGGA
rnacentral:misc_RNA from 1 species